UACAGAGACUGCAAGCGUUAUUCGGAUUCACUGGGCGUAAAGGGUGCGCAGGCGGCCGGGUGUGUCAGAUGUGAAAUCCCGAGGCUUAACCUCGGAACUGCGUCUGAAACUACUCGGCUAGAGUAUUGGAGAGGGUAACGGAAUUCACGGUGUAGCAGUGAAAUGCGUAGAGAUCGUGAGGAAGACCAGUGGCGAAGGCGGGUCUCUGGACAGUUCCUGACACUGAGGCACGAAGGCCAGGGGAGCAAAC
rnacentral:rRNA from 1 species